GCGCGCGCGCGCACGUUCCAACGGUCGACGCGGGAGCGGGAGCCCUGGCCCCGCCCCGCCGUGCGCUGGCGUCGUCCCCUCCGCCUCACCCGGGAGCACGGCAGCAGUUGUAGCUUUGGGACGAUCUCUCCUUCCAGAAAGUACUAUGAUGAACAAAGCAAAGAAAAUCAGAAGAGGUUUCACAGCCAGACUGCAACUCAAGUUACUAAGGCCAAUUACGGAACCUGUACUAAAGCUCCAGGAUCUUCUAUGAUGGGACCAUCCUGAUUCAUGUAAUUAAGUGAUUCAACAAAUAAACUGAUUGAACCAACA